GUGCUCGCUUCAGCAGCACAUAUACUAAAAUUGGAACGAUACAGAGAAGAUUAGGAUGGCCCCUGCGCAAGGAUAACAUGUAAAUUCAUGAAGAGUUCCAUAUUUUA
rnacentral:snRNA from 1 species